GGUGAGAUGUCCGAGAGGAUUAAGGAGCAUGCCUGGAAAGCGUGUAUACGUUUUUUCAAACGUAUCAAGGGUUCGAAUCCCUUUCUCACCA
rnacentral:tRNA from 1 species